UCCGUAUCAGGCUAGCACCCUGUAGUUGAGGAGCAAAAGACAUAUUACAGGCAAGGAAGUGUGAGUUAUGGUCUGACAAGGAGGUGCUAAUAACUCCACUGAAACUUAGAAAUAUUCCUUUCUCUCUGUGCCAAAUGGGUAGGGGAGAGAGUGGAAACAGGUGUUAAAAGAAUUCAGCGUGAAGCCAAAGUCUAUAGUAAAGCCAAGACAAUAUGUGCUGGAGAAAGAAGGGACAGCAGCUGGUGCAGUGAAGAGAAGAAGGGGUUAGAAUCACAGAGAGUUGAAGAGUUUAUAAGUGGGUUGUUGAACUCACCAGGGAGGACAUGAGCAGACAGAAGAAGUAGACUAUACUCUACGCCCCAGCUUCAGCAAAAUCCAAGUGAUCUCUCAGCCUAUACUUUUGAACCCUCACAUCAUGGGUCUCGGUGUUCUCUAAUGCUCUUCGAGACUGCUGAAGACACUGGGGAUUUAAGGGAAAUUCACGGUUAUACAUAUUUUGAAGGAAUUCCUAGCAUUUCAUUUAACCUGCUGAAAUUUGUCCAUCUCUACCACAGUGCAAAUGAGCGACAUGAUGAUUGGAGUUUGAAGGGCCAUGUUGGACUGUGAGGUGACAUAUUAAAAAUUGCAAAGCAGCAACUUAUAAAAA
rnacentral:lncRNA from 1 species